rnacentral:rRNA from 1 species
GACGAACGCUGGCGGCGUGCUUAACACAUGCAAGUCGAACGGAAAGGCCCUGCUUUUGUGGGGUGCUCGAGUGGCGAACGGGUGAGUAACACGUGAGUAACCUGCCCUUGACUUUGGGAUAACUUCAGGAAACUGGGGCUAAUACCGGAUAGGAGCUCCUGCUGCAUGGUGGGGGUUGGAAAGUUUCGGCGGUUGGGGAUGGACUCGCGGCUUAUCAGCUUGUUGGUGGGGUAGUGGCUUACCCAGGCGUUGACGGGUAGCCGGCCUGGGAGGGUGGCCGGCGACAUUGGGGCUGGGGGGCGGCCGGGGGGGCUGCGGGAGGCAGGGGUGGGGGAUAUGGCGGGAGGGGCGGGAGCCUGAUGCAGGGGGGCGGGGGGGGGGAUGAGGGGCGUCGGGUUGUAGACGGCGUUCGGGGGUGGCGAAGGGGGAGUGGCGGUAAUGGGUAAAGAAGCGCCGGCUAACUACGUG